rnacentral:rRNA from 1 species
AUUGAACGCUGGCGGCAGGCCUAACACAUGCAAGUCGAACGAGUGGCGGACGGGUGAGUAAUGUCUGGGAAACUGCCUGAUGGAGGGGGAUAACUACUGGAAACGGUAGCUAAUACCGCAUACCAUCGGAUGUGCCCAGAUGGGAUUAGCUAGUAGGUGGGGGAAAGGCUCACCUAGGCGACGAUCCCUAGCUGGUCGGAGAGGAUGACCAGCCAAACUGGAACGGGGACACGGUCCAGACUCCUACGGGAGGCAGCAGUGGGGAAUAUUGCACAAGGGGCGCAAGCCGGAUGCAGCCAUGCGGCGUGUAUGAAGAAGGCCUUCGGGUGGUAAAGUCCUUUCAGCGGGGAGGCGUUACCCGCAGAAGAAGCACCGGCUAACUCCGUGCCAGCCGCCGCGGUAAUAC